AACCAUGGUGCAGGGGAACUGAGAAAGCUAAAACCUGGGAGAGAUUAGUGUUUGCCUAGCAUGGACUGAACCACCGGAAAACUUCAGAAAGGUUGUUUAUUAAGUAAAUAGGGAGGUUUGAACUAGUCAUAAAUUAGUGGAUAAAGGCCUCUGUUCCUCUGUUCUGGACCAGUGCUGGAUUGCUGCAGGAGGCUCACAGUGCGAUGGAUUUGACAGCUGCAACUCAGCCGUUAGAUGACAGCAGUGCACAUCUCAAUGCCAUCCAGCACAAUUUAACAUGAACAAUCUGACAUGCUUGACAGAUCCUUGAAGAAGGAGGAGGAAAAGGCCACUCCUUUGCUACCUCUGAUCCAGAAUGAUUUUGUACAUCCAGACUCUUCAGGAGUAACACUCACUAGCUGGCUAAUGCAAUGAGGUUGUGCAUUAUAACUUUUGUCAUGCCUUAUCUAGCAGAAGAUAAAGAAGUGACAGUGGAAGAACCUGAAUAGCCAUAAGCCUACUUGGAAGCAGGCAACUCUGUGCCUCUGUAGUUUAAGAGAUGAAGUCCAUGAAGGAGGAAUUCAGAAAAAAUGAGGCUUUUCCAGAGAUUGUGUUGAGAAGAAAUGGAUACCAGACAACUGUGAUCUGGCUGAUAGUGAAGAGAGAAUGUCCUUUUCCUUCCUACAGUGAUUUGACUAAAUGACAAGUCCUUUUUCCCAAACAUCUUGAUAAAUUGUGACUAUGUGGUGUAAAAAUUCAUUUUUAUGAUACUGGUCACAGUGAGACUGAAAAUAAACUGUAACUCCAAACAUGGGGCUCAUGCACAAAGAAGUUAUUGACUUUUUCUUCACUGUUCUUAUUUAAGUGUCACUUUUAUUAGAACAGGCAAGUUUGUGUUUUCUUAGAUUGUUAGAGUUCAUAGGCUACUACAGACAUCUUUCCAGGGAACUCUUGGAAAAUGCUAAAGAAAUGUUGGAAAGAAUCUAACUUGAGCAGCAGGUGAUCUGCAGCAUAAAUUUCUUGCAAACAGCUAAGCGCUGGGAAUCACUUUGUUUUAAUAUCUGAUGCAAAAUUUUAUAUAAACAACUGCUGAGUUACAAUUAGUGACUAGGGAGAGUUUGUCUCAAUUUGGCUACUUUGUAUUUUGCUGAUUAUCAUCCACAAAGUCUUGUCUUUCUUUGUUGGCAAAUGAUUCAAGGAAAGUGAUCUUUCCUAUUGCUAUAAUAGCAUAUUCUGAUCAAUGGAUAUAAUUUGAAAGUCGUAGAAUA